rnacentral:RNase_P_RNA from 1 species
UCAGAUGGCCGGAUGGUUGCUGCCCCGUUUUGGAUUUUUCUGGAAUGGGGGAGAGGAAAGUCCGGGCUCCACAGGAUCAGGAUGCCGGGUAACGCCCGGCGGGGGCGACCCUAGGGAAAGUGCCACAGAAAACAAACCGCCGAGCAGCGCAUCUGCGCCGCCUCGGUAAGGGUGAAAAGGUGCGGUAAGAGCGCACCGCCAGACUGGCAACAGGCUGGGCAUGGUAAACCCCAUCCGGAGCAAGACCAUGUAGGGACACGUGCCGCUUAAAUGCGGUGGGCGCGAUCCUGCGCCGAUGUCCGGGUAGGUCGCUCGAUGCGGCUGGCAACAACCGCGCUAGAUGAAUAACCAUCACCAUUCUCGAAUGGAACAGAACCCGGCUUACAGGCCAUCUGACAGC